rnacentral:rRNA from 1 species
GAUGAACGCUGGCGGUCUGCUUAACACAUGCAAGUCGAACGGAAUCCCUCGGGAUUUAGUGGCGGACGGGUGAGUAACACGUAAGAACCUGCCUCUAGGACGGGGACAACAGUUGGAAACGACUGCUAAACCCGGAUGAGCCGAAAGGUAAAAGAUUUAUCGCCUAGAGAGGGGCUUGCGUCUGAUUAGCUAGUUGGUAAGGUAAAGGCUUACUAAGGCGACGAUCAGUAGCUGGUCUGAGAGGAUGAUCAGCCACACUGGGACUGAGACACGGCCCAGACUCCUACGGGAGGCAGCAGUGGGGAAUUUUCCGCAAUGGGCGAAAGCCUGACGGAGCAAGACCGCGUGGGGGAGGAAGGUUCUUGGAUUGUCAACCCCUUUUCUCAGGGAAGAACAAAAUGACGGUACCUGAGGAAAAAGCAUCGGCUAACUCCGUGCCAGCCGCCGCGGUAAAAC